ACUGUUGUGUGGUGGGGUGAGUACUCUUCAUCUCUAUAACAUCUUUGAGCUCUUCAUUUCAGGAGAGGGAGCUCACCAGCUGCAGGGUAUUAGCAAUCAGCGGCAGAUGCAGCUUCUCAGGUCAUCUGCAGCAGAGCUCUAUUUAAGAGGAGAGGGAACCACUACACAGCGCUGGAUGAUUAACUACUCAUGGAUCACUGGACAAUCUUCCCUGACGCUCUGGGUUUGUUGGAUAUUAUCCUCCAUCCAAGAAGCAGAACCUUACUGGAUUACUCACCUGGAAAGAACCAUACCUUCCUGGACUUCACGGUUCGCCUCUCCUCUUAUUCCUCUGCCACCCUGCCUGGCUCCCUCUCCUGGACUCACCCCGUCACUCCACCUGCCCUCCUCGACCGCCUCCACCUGCAGAACUUGGACUCUCUCUGGCUCCAACUACUCUGGGUUUAUUCCAGGGACACCUUUUGUUAGAUUCCUUAAAUAAAUCAUUGUUUUGAACUUU